UUAACACUGUAGCACAUGUGAUUUUAUUUUUGCAGAACUGAGCUUGCUCCCGGCUUCAAGUCCUCCUCGUGGGCCUUCUCCAGUGACUGGAGUUGAUGACAUACGGUAUGUGCUGGAGACUUAACUGUAUGUCCUGCACUAUAAACUAAAACAAGGAUAAACACUGUGACGAGGGCUGUCACAUAAUAAUGACAAAAGAGAGAAGAAAAAUGCCCAAAUAUUCCCUCUCUCAAAGCUACCAGACUGAUGCAGACUGGAGCAGCAGAGUACAAGAGAAGGUUUAGUACUGUAGAUGAAAAGAGGCAACAUAAAGCAUGAGGUGAGCACCUAAUUGAAUUAUUGAUCCGGCUGGGAAAAGAGACGAGCGAAGGAUGGCGUGUCAUGUUCACAUGAGGCUGGCGUGUUGUCGAACGAAGUGCAGAAGGACAGAGAAAAGAGGUAGAUUUCUGUCCAGUCCUGUCUCACCUUCUCUCUGAGGUGUGGCUGCCUCUGCAUCAACCCCAUCCUUCUCAGCAUUGCAGCGGAAUCCUUUCUUCUUCAAGAAGUUGCAAAUCACGAUACCCAGCAGGCCCGUCACACAGAAGAUAGGCACCAAGGCGAACACGGCAUACUCGGCCAUAUUCUCCUCAGUGCUGCGCACAAUGGUGUCAUUGACUGGACCUCCAGCGCCACUUAUCAAGUCUUGCCCCACUGUGCGUGCGCUUCUGCUGUGCACAGUCACUGGGGGGAGAAAUCAGAAUCCGAAAAUUUCCAAUCAGUUUUAAUUUGGCCUUUUGAGUUAUCAAGUUAAGGAGUUUGGGUGUUGAAUGCAACAGUGGGGGGAAAAAAACAUGCUUACUGUUUACACAGGGGUUUUUCGUUGAAUAACUUCCCACCCUAGCUUUGAAGUUUAAUCUGUGAAAAAAAAGAGAACAUAGCACAUUUGGCAGAAUGAAGGAAGACGAUACAAUGAACAAGCAAUAAAAAAUUCUCUGCAAGCUUCCUGA